rnacentral:rRNA from 1 species
UACAGAGGGGGCAAGCGUUGUUCGGAAUUACUGGGCGUAAAGGGCGCGUAGGUGGCCUUCUAAGUCGAACGUGAAAUCCCCGAGCUCAACUCGGGAACUGCGUCCGAUACUGGUGGGCUUGAAUCCGGGAGAGGGAUGCGGAAUUCCAGGUGUAGCGGUGAAAUGCGUAGAUAUCUGGAGGAACACCGGUGGCGAAGGCGGCAUCCUGGACCGGCAUUGACGCUGAGGCGCGAAAGCUAGGGGAGCAAACGGG